UGAUCCUUCAGUUCAGUCCAGCCGUGAUGCAAGAGGACAAGUUUACACCUGCGCCAUUUCACAGGAAACUUGCCAGCCUCUGACAAUUAAUGUGCCCUAUGAAGCUGUUAACAUGUCUCUUGGACUUUCUAUGGCUAAGGAUACACACUCAUCUAAUUCAGUGGUCUGUGGUCCCACCAUUCCUAAAGACUGCAAAAUUCUGACUACACUCAACGGUAUGUGCUUUCAAAUCAGCGGGAACAAUGAAGCGAGUGCUCCUAU